UUGAAGUUGAGGUGUAAAUAUUGAAACAUAAACGGGAGGAUUUAUAUACGAAAACUAAAGAUCAGACAGAUAUUUACACUACAAUGUUUAAGGAGCUGCAGCUUAAUGAUAACCAGGAAAGAGCAGAAAGCGUUGAAAGCUAUUUGAUAGAACAGGAUAUAUCAAAUGGUCACGAUCAAGCUGUCGGUGUAUCAUGUGAUGAACAGAUCGACGUGGACACAUCUCAUGUCAUCAUGGCAAUUAAAGAAGUAAAAUAUUCCGUCGGUUCCACCACACAAACACAUAAGUGUAAAGAGAAAUCCUAAGGAUACGUUCAACAAAAGCUUUCGCUAAAGUGUUCUUUUAUAUGCUUUAUUCAUGCUGGUAGAAAAAAAGAUUUCAAUAUUUUUUAAGGAAAUCAUUUUGGUCGUAAUUGAAAAGUAUGUAAGGUAAAAGACCGAGAUAAACACCAAUUGUCACAUACUAUCAACGCUUUUACGACCAAAUCAUCGUGUAAUCAAUAACAUUAAUAUUCCGGCUUUGUUUUAAACUUACUGGGAUUUACGGGAAAGACAAAGUGAAUAGAUUUUGAAUUGGAAAAAUACGCAAAAACUACAACAAAUAAAUGUGCUGUAACUGGUAAGCGAUGUGAUACAUCAGUGAGUAAGAUUCUAUGCGUUGUAUUGCAUACUUUAACAAAAAUGAAACUAAGGGACGCAAGUCUUGAUAUACUACAGUUAAUUUCUCUAUUGAAAUCAUUCAUUGAAUACUGUGUUUCAUAUAUUCAGCUAUGUCUGUAGUAUUGUAUUUCACUUGAUGCUUGGGUAUGAAUGAAUAAACAUGUAACUCCA